rnacentral:rRNA from 1 species
UACGUAGGGUGCGAGCGUUAAUCGGAAUUACUGGGCGUAAAGUGUGCGCAGGCGGCGCCGCAAGUCGAGUGUGAAAGCCCCGGGCUUAACUUGGGAAUUGCGCUCAAAACUAUGGUGCUGGAGUGUGGCAGAGGAAGGUGGAAUUCCACGUGUAGCGGUGAAAUGCGUAGAUAUCAGGAGGAACACCUGCGGUGUAGACGGCUUUCUGGACCAUUGCUGACGCUGAGACACGAAAGCGUGGGUAGCAAACAGG